rnacentral:rRNA from 1 species
CCCUUAGAGUUUGAUCCUGGCUCAGGAUGAACGCUAGCUACAGGCUUAACACAUGCAAGUCGAGGGGCAGCAUUUCAGUUUGCUUGCAAACUGGAGAUGGCGACCGGCGCACGGGUGAGUAACACGUAUCCAACCUGCCGAUAACUCGGGGAUAGCCUUUCGAAAGAAAGAUUAAUACCCGAUGGCAUAAUAGAACCGCAUGGUUUUUUUAUUAAAGAAUUUCGGUUAUCGAUGGGGAUGCGUUCCAUUAGGCAGUUGGUGAGGUAACGGCUCACCAAACCUUCGAUGGAUAGGGGUUCUGAGAGGAAGGUCCCCCACAUUGGAACUGAGACACGGUCCAAACUCCUACGGGAGGCAGCAGUGAGGAAUAUUGGUCAAUGGGCGCAGGCCUGAACCAGCCAAGUAGCGUGAAGGAUGACUGCCCUAUGGGUUGUAAACUUCUUUUAUAUGGGAAUAAAGUUUUCCACGUGUGGAAUUAGUAUGUACCAUAGAAUAAGAUCGGCAACUC